AGGCCCGAUGACUCCGAUGUCCUGGUCAACCUUGCUUGUGGCAGUCUUUCAGGGAUAGCAUCAUCUACAGAUAUUUCCAGAGUAGAAGUUUGCUUCUUGCGGAUUUCAUGCCUGUGAAGAAUGCGACUAAUUUUUGUUUUUGUACCACGGAGAAUGCUGAGGAAAACUUUUAAUUUUGAUUUAUGUUAUUUUCAAUUAUGAAUAAUAUUAUGUAUUUAAACAUUAUAUAUGUAUUAUGGAACAUUAUGUACUCGGUUAAUUUUGUUGAUAUAUAGUUAUGAAUGCAAGAAUAUGUUUAUUAUGGAGAAAUUAUUAUUUCU